CCCGCUGAACUUAAGCAUAUCAGUAAGCGGAGGAAAGAGAAACUAACAAGGAUUCCCCUAGUAACUGCGAGUGAAGCGGGAAUAGCUCGUCUUGAAAAUCCGUUCAUAUGGAAUUGUAAGAUGAAUCAUUGCGCGUUGUAUAUUGUGUAUUCGAGUCCUUUGGAACAAGGCACCAUAGAGGGUGAUAGUCCCGUAGAAUACAUGACAUCUAUUCGCAACAUAUUAUAUACGAGUCGAGCUGUUUGGGAUUGCAGCUCAAAGAAGGGUGGUAAAUCUCAUCCAAGGCUAAAUAUUACCAAGAGACCGAUAGUGAACAAGUACCGUGAGGGAAAGAUGAAAAGCACCUUGAAAAGGGAAUUAAAUAGCACGUGAAAUUGUUAAAAGGGAAUCAUUCUUAAGGACCUUGUACACAUCAUUUGUGACCAAUGUGCGAGAGUAUAUAUAUUGUACACAUUUAAAUGUGAACAUCAUGUAAUCCCGUAUAUCAAUCACAAACAGUAUCCACAUUCUCUUAAUAAUGACCCGUCUUGAAACACGG
rnacentral:rRNA from 1 species